rnacentral:tRNA from 1 species
GAUGGAGCAGUCUGGUAGCUCGUCGGGCUCAUAACCCGAAGGUCGUUGGUUCAAAUCCAGCUCCCGCUACCA